UCUCUCUCUCUCUCUCUCUCUCUCUAUCCCGCGUAUAUCGAUCGGACGGUGGACGACGGUGCCCGAGCUUCGAUUGUCCAACAGAUUUUUUCCACCACGUUACUCCACAGGAUCACGUGUCACCCGAUACAGUACGUCGCCCGACAAACGAAUCGAAGAUCUUGAACAGAGGGGAUAGUUGGUGUUUCGAGUUUUUAGGUUAAACCCUGGUGGACGGAGCGAGAGAAAGAGAGGGGGAGGGAGGGGAAAAAGACAAGUUUCACCCUUAUUUUUCGCCGAUCCUCCCUCUCGAACGUUUACUAUCAAAGCAUCGUUAGUCUAGUGGUCUCUUGGCAAGCACGGGGGAGUAACGCUGUUGGUUCUCACGCGCCCCAUACGUCUACCGUGUUAAUGCAAAUACAGCCGGCACUACGAAUAACAAGGUGCAAUGUUACAGUUGGGGAACAAACUUCGUGGGCGAGGCUCGAGUUUUGAAACGGUUUGCAACGCGGAUUCCUCCGACGCGGAAUUAACUCUUGGUAAUCGUCGUUACGUGUAAUAGCGGUGCGUAAUCCAGCGAGUUGUAACAACUGUUCUUUUUCCCGGCAAUUCGUCGGAUUUUCGAUCCGCGACAGAAUCACGCCCGGACCUUAAUUUGACAGGGGACGAGGGUGUGGAGAGCGGCGCGGGCGUGACAGAUUGUAGAAGCGUGUCGCAUCGGUUAAUACAACGGGACUAAUGAGUGGGACGCAUCGAGACUCGGGGAUGUGUAUCUCUCCGUCGCCUCUCGUUUCGGAGAUAUACCACCGUUCCAAUAAUUCACCUCUAAUUAAGGCGUUAAUGAAGAGCCUCGGGGAGAGAGAGAGAGAGAGAGAGAAGUGACUUGCCUCGAAACGACUCGCUGGAAUGCAAUAAGAGAGCGAAGGCUGUAGACGAGAAGGAAGGAACUCUUCGCCAGCUAUGAAAAUUUCUAUUGGCUUUCUUCGAGGGUUCUUUCGUCGCGACUCCUUUCGACGACGACCUUACCCCCUCGUGUGCCGGGGAAUCCGUCUAUGAACUUUCCCUCCCAAGGGAAGAAUCUUUUGUUUCGAAUCGGUCGUUUCGCGUAUCAACCUCGCGCAUUUACCUUCCCUUUGAAUCUCGCGACGAGAUUCAACGCAGAUUCUCGCAAACUUGGAGAUCUUGGGACGGUGCGAUCGUCGUUGCAUUUAUCGUUGCGUUUAUCGCGCUGCGCGUACGAGACGAUCGAGGGAUCGAUGGUAACAAAAGGAAAUUUCGUCACACCUACCUGUCGGCGUUACCAGAAACGCAAGAGAGAAAAAAAAGAAAGAGAAAAAAAAAAAUAUCGAAAAAACAAAAACUUGACCCCGUUCCUUUCUUAACCCGUUCGACACUUGGAAAAAAAUGAAGGAAGAAAAGUAAAAAAAAAAAAAAAAAAAAAAGUAACGAAAAGGUCAACGUAAGAUUAAAAAAACAAAGAUGGUUGCCGAGAUGGAGAUGACGUUUAAUCGUUAAAUCAAUAAAAUUAAUGAAUUAAAUAAAUAAAUUAAAAAUGUUUAUAUACAUAUUUAUAUAUAUAAUAUAUAUAUAUAUAUAAUAUAAUAUAAAACAUAAAUAGAGUCCCGAGACUGGUGGAGCGAAGCGCGUAUUUCGACGCGCCCUCUCCGUUGCGCUUUCUUUGCGAUCUUUUUCUCCUCGCGCGAAGCCGUAACGUCGAGAAUUCCGGAAGAGAUCGAUUCGCCAUCGUGUCCGCCCAAAAUAUCAUCGUUCCACUUUCUCUUUUGGUGGCUGUCGUGAAAAACGCGUGUUUCACGGGGAAGAAUACGACAGAGAGAGAGAGAGAGAGAGA
rnacentral:lncRNA from 1 species